rnacentral:rRNA from 1 species
GUGGAUUAGAUACCCUAGUAGUCCACGCCGUAAACGAUGAUAACUAGCUGUCGGGGCUCUUAGAGCUUCGGUGGCGCAGCUAACGCAUUAAGUUAUCCGCCUGGGGAGUACGGCCGCAAGGUUAAAACUCAAAGGAAUUGACGGGGGCCUGCACAAGCGGUGGAGCAUGUGGUUUAAUUCGAAGCAACGCGCAGAACCUUACCAGCGUUUGACAUGGCAGGACGAUUUCCAGAGAUGGACUUCUUCUCGUAAGAGACCUGCACACAGGUGCUGCACGGCCGUCGUCAACU